GACGAACGCUGGCGGCGUGCCUAAUACAUGCAAGUCGAACGGAAAGGCCCUGCUCUUGUGGGGUGCUCGUGUGGCGAACGGGUGAGUAACACGUGAGUAACCUGUCCCUGACUUUGGGAUAACUUCAGGAAACUCGGGCUAAUAUCGGAUAGGAGCUCUUGCUGCACGGUGGGGGUUGGAAAGUUUCGGCGGUUGGGGAUGGAAUCGCGGCUUAUCAGCUUGUUGGUGGGGUAGUGGCUUACCAAGGCUUUGACGGGUAGCCGGCCUGAGAGGGUGACCGGCCACAUUGGGCCUGAGGUACGGCCCAGACUCCUACGGGAGGCAGCGGUGGAGAAUCUUGCGCAAUAGGCGGAAGCCUGAUGCAGCGACGCCGGGUGCGGGAUGCCGGCCUUCGGGUUGUAAACCGCUUUCGCCUGUGACGAGGCGUGAGUGACGGUAAUGGGUAAGGAAGCACCGGCUAACUACGUG
rnacentral:rRNA from 1 species